rnacentral:rRNA from 1 species
UGGGGAAUAUUGGACAAUGGGCGAAAGCCUGAUCCAGCCAUGCCGCGUGUGUGAAGAAGGUCUUCGGAUUGUAAAGCACUUUAAGUUGGGAGGAAGGGCAGUAAGCGAAUACCUUGCUGUUUUGACGUUACCGACAGAAUAAGCACCGGCUAACUCUGUGCCAGCAGCCGCGGUAAUACAGAGGGUGCAAGCGUUAAUCGGAAUUACUGGGCGUAAAGCGCGCGUAGGUGGUUCGUUAAGUUGAAUGUGAAAGCCCCGGGCUCAACCUGGGAACUGCAUCCAAAACUGGCGGGCUAGAGUAGGGCAGAGGGUGGUGGAAUUUCCUGUGUAGCGGUGAAAUGCGUAGAUAUAGGGAGGAACACCAGUGGCGAAGGCGACCACCUGGGCUCAUACUGACACUGAGGUGCGAAAGCGUGGGGAGCAAACAGG